GGGGAUUUAGUUCAGUGGUAGAGCACUUGCCUAGCAAGCACAAGGCCCUGGGUUCGGUCCCCAGCUCCA
rfam:Rattus norvegicus chromosome 5, whole genome shotgun sequence.